AGAAACUGCAUUCCUGCUGAGGCGAAUUCUGUGGCAGUUCAACAGAUGAGCAACUUCCCGCAGCUUCCUCUGGAAAGAAAGACGCAGUGAUAAUGAACAAAUCAUGGCAGAGAGUAAAAUGUGACCUUCGGGAGAGGAGUGGUGUUAAAGAUGAAGAAAAGAGGAGGAGGGGCGGCCUGAUAGAUGAAACAUC